UGGAUCAUUCAGGGAACAGGAAGUUAUAAAGGAAACAGGAAGUUCAGGGUUCUUUCUCUAAUCUGCACACAGCAAGCAGCAACAGAAAUGUAAGUUCCUGUACUGAAGUUAAGGUUUAGCAUUAGCAUGUAGCUUAGCAUUAGCAACAACUUGUAUUAGUUUAUUGUUUGAAUUUAUACAGAACUUUGGUAAUGACUAAACUUCUUGUGUCUUGUAGUUUUCACUCCUUCAAUCUGGUGAAGAAAUGAAAAGACGAGAUCAUCUCUUUGCUCCCUUCAGAGCUACAGAUUCACAGAUAUAAGAAGACCGAGGAGUUCAGAUGAAAAGAAACAAAGCUACAUGGACAGACAGGUGAUCAUUCAAAUGAUUUCGUCUGCUUGCGUUGGAUGGAUGUUUCUCGAUCUUCUCCUGAGUCCAUUUGAACUUUUGUGAUCUGUUGCUUUGGUAACCUCAGCAUCGUUAACAAAAACAGGCCAAUCAGAGUCCACAUUUUGAAGGUCUCGGUCUGGGACUAGAAGGAAAAAACAUAAAAUAACGUCACUCCCCGGUUACGACCACAACCUUCCUGGUGUUACGGUCCAACUGUUUGUACAGGUUGCUCCUCCUCGUAUUUGAUCCGCUCGUGGCAACAAUAUUAUUUGACUUUUCUUUCACAAAGGUCAUUGCUGAGUCCAGCCAGUGAGGCUCCAAACCUCCAUGGAAAUGUGAACAAAAUGAGAGAAGAUGCCGGUUUGAGGCGAACACACACAGACUGCACUGAUGGGACGCAGCUCGGUGAAGGACCGUCUCCCCCCCUGGUCAACAGAAGAGAGAGAGAGAGUCAGAUUACAGCAUCUGACAACAUCACCCGAGGAAC